CCUAUGAAGCUUUACUGUAACUUGAAAUUGAAAUUGGACUUUAUUUGCGCAGCAUAGGUGGGAGGCAUUGAGUUUAUUCUUGCGGGAAUUUAGGAGCCAUCAGUGAGAUACCACUCUGGUAAUGUUAGAUUUCUAACUUUGUAUCAUAAUCUGGUCAAAGAACAGUUUCAGGCGGGCAGUUUGACUGGGGCGGUCGCCUCCCAAACGGUAACGGAGGCGUACAAAGGUUUCCUCUGAACGUGUAGAAAUCGUAUCUAGAGUGUAAAGGCAUAAGGAAGCUUGACUGUGAGACCUACAAGUCGAGCAGGGACGAAAGUCGGUCUUAGUGAUCUGACGGUGCUGAGUGGAAAGG
rnacentral:rRNA from 1 species